CCAUUUUUUGGAUCGAUACUCUCAGUGAAAGUGAUCUGGUAUUGGUAAUAUCUAGCUUCACUCGUUUUCCACCACGACACUAUGCAAGCAACCGGUGGCUCAAGGCACUCUAACAUAUUGCGUAACAUAGUAUUGCGAUAUUGUAAUUUUUGAAUAGUGUAUGGUAAAAACACAUCCUAAUUUUCUUGAGUUGUUUACAUUUCGAACACGAAAAUGUAUCUACUGUUACCAACGCGUGAAUCAACCAUUCCAUUUCAAGAGACCUCACUUUAAGUAAAUUUUCCUCAAUAUAAAGUGUUGUAGAAGUAAUAAUGGUUUAAAAAAGGUUAAACAAUUGCCAUCGAUUUUUAUUAAAAGGAGUACGGAUCUCUUUUCGUGCAUUCGUCGUGUUUCUUGUUAGAACAUAGACUUUGCUAAAGUGAUUUAACCUUGCAUCUAUCUUUUAC